GGUGAGUAACACGUGGAUAACCUACCUAUAAGACUGGGAUAACUUCGGGAAACCGGAGCUAAUACCGGAUAAUAUUUUGAACCGCAUGGUUCAAAAGUGAAAGACGGUCUUGCUGUCACUUAUAGAUGGAUCCGCGCUGCAUUAGCUAGUUGGUAAGGUAACGGCUUACCAAGGCAACGAUGCAUAGCCGACCUGAGAGGGUGAUCGGCCACACUGGAACUGAGACACGGUCCAGACUCCUACGGGAGGCAGCAGUAGGGAAUCUUCCGCAAUGGGCGAAAGCCUGACGGAGCAACGCCGCGUGAGUGAUGAAGGUCUUCGGAUCGUAAAACUCUGUUAUUAGGGAAGAACAUAUGUGUAAGUAACUGUGCACAUCUUGACGGUACCUAAUCAGAAAGCCACGGCUAACUACGUGCCAGCAGCCGCGGUAAUACG
rnacentral:rRNA from 1 species